AAUGUAAUUAUUUGCUUCGCAAGAAAUUCAACGUAACUGAGCCAAAGUUUGUAAACUCGAGGAAAACGGAGGAGAGUAAUAUCUACUCGGAUGCCUUCUCAUGUUACAGAUACAGCUUGAACUUUCUGUGAUUCGCAAGCACGAGCUUUUAACAUGCGAGUCUAGAAGUGUUUCCCACGGCAAAAUGUUUGGCCAGCCUCGAUAGCGAAGCAUUCCAACCGAUUAGUCAUAAUGAUCCAAAGCCGAGAAGCCACGUACUCGUUACGUAUUCGGCUCGAACCACGCUGCAUUUGAAACUUGGACAAGUUCGGUACUAUUUGGACUUGGCGAAGGAGGUAGGAGGCCAGUUAACGACUCUGCCAGUAUCAAUGGGCCGAGAAGUUUGAAGAGAAACUUUGCCCUUCGAUUAUCGACACGAUAAUUAAGCAGGUUUAGUUACCUUGCAUAAUCCGUCUUCGAUUUGCCACGUUCAAUGGACCUUCUCAUCUGGACCUCCGCUAGCUUUAUAUAGAAAAAAAGCAGCUCGAGUAGAUAGAAAGAAACUAGCCUUGCUAGUCUUCAGGAGGAUGUUUACCAAACCGGAACCAACGUCGAAGGAAACAAACACUUUGAACGAACUAACGCCACGAGAAGUUUGCAAACGCAUACAUGGAUAAGAUGUAUCUUUGAAUUACGUAUGAACCGUCUCCAAACUCGCCGAAAAACUUUCACGAAUUUCCCGUGGAAACAUCCGCCGGAGAAAAAUGUGUUUCGGCUUUUCUGCGCGAGUCGUUCCUCCGACUCCUUCUAUCUUUCUUAUCGUUGUUAUCGCGCCGGCUGUCGUACAAAACUGGCUUGUUUAUACAAUUUCCCAUGCAAAUCCCCGAGCGGUAUAAAUACUUUCUUGCGUACGUUACUCUUCCGUUUCUCUGAGAAGCGUAGGUGUGGGUAUUGGGAGCUCCUAACGGCAUUUAUUAUAGCUGAAAGAUACAGGACGUUACAAGGUCCAGGAUGUUACAACAGAAUAGUAUGCACAGUUUGAAUGAUUAUAGUUGUAUUCUUUAAUAUUUAAAUACCAAGAGACAGACAAUAGCGUGUACAUCUA